rnacentral:lncRNA from 1 species
GUUCUUUUGACAGCCUUGAGCUUUCCCGGGCAGGAACUUCCUGGGGCUGCAGUCAGCCUAGAAACAUGGCUUUGGGCUGUGGAAACGCUGCUACUGUGGAAGUCUCUUAUCGCGGGGUGGACGCGGUCGCUACGCGCCCAGCCUUCUUCUGUGGUUCUCACAGCCCGCCCCCACUUCCAUCUCGGGGACCUUUGCGGGGAGGCCUCAGGUACCAGUCAGGACUGGUAGAUUUUAAUGUGGAGAACUUCUGAAACAGCAGUUCUCAAAAGGUUAUCUCCAGACACACAAAAUCUGCAUCACCCAGGAACUUGUAACCAUGCAAAUUCUCAGCCACCCAGACUUCCUGAAUCAGAAACUCUGGGGCCCAGCAGCCUGUGUUUUGACAAGCCCUUCAGGCUGGAGUAUAGUGGCAUGAUCAUAGAUCACUGCAGCCUCAAACUCCUGGGCUCAAGCAAUCCUCCCACCUCAGCCUCCAUAUAGCUGGUGGGGAUCAAGUUUCUAACACAUGAAUCUUGGGAGACACAUUCAGACCAUCACAGUGGCCUUAUAAAAAGAGACACAAGGGCUUGCUCUCUGCCAUGUGAGUAUACCACAAGAAGACUGUCCUCAGCAAAUCAGAGAGCAGGUGGACCCUCAUCAGACACCAGAUGUGCCUGCACCUUUAUCUUGGACUUGCCAGCCUUCAGAACAGUAAGAAAGAAAUGUGUGUUGUUUAAGCCGCCCAGUCUAUGGAAACUUGUUAUAGCACCCCACUAAGAGACCCCAAGAUAUUUAAAAACUCAUCAGCACCUGCCUUCUGCAUCUGGAUCCUGAUCUUCUGGCGGGUUUACCAGUUACUUGCAGAGUGUCCCUGUGAUAGUUUUAGGUGUCAACUUGACAGGACUGAGGGAUGCCUAGAUGGCUGGGGAAGCACUGUUUCUGAGAAGGACCAUGUUUUUGGAAGAGACUGUUUUAUGGGUGAAUUUCAGGGGACACAUUCAUCAUGGCAGUGGCAGUAUAAAGAGAGACACAAAAGCGUGUUCUCUCUCUCUGCCAUGUGAGACUACCACACAAAGACUGCCAUCUGCAAACCAGAAGCAGGUGGGCUCUCCUCAGACACCAGAUCUGCCUGCACCUUGAUCUUGGCCUUGCCAGCCUUCAGAACUCUAAGAAAGAAAUGGUAGCAUGGCUUGGUCUAAGUUGGAAGGCCUGAGAAACAAGGAAGCAUAUGGUGGAACUGAGUUCAAGGAUAAAGACUUGAGAAUACCUACUCAGUGGACUGAGUAGGGAAGAUCAACCCUCAAUGUAGGCAGGCACUAUCCAAUCACCUGAGGGCCCAGAUGGAACAAAAAGGUGGAAGAAGGGUGAAUUCUCUCUUCCAGAGCUGUGACACCCUUCUCCUCAUGCCCUUGUACCACACAACUCUAGGUCCUUUGGCCUUUGGACUCUGACACUUGCACCAGUGGCCCUCUGGGGCUCUCAAGCCUUUAGCCUUGAACUGAGUUACACCAUGUGCUUCCUUGUUUCUCAGGCCUUCCAACUUGGAUCAGGGCAUGCCACCAGCUUCUCUGAUUCUCCAGCUUGCAGAUGGCAUAUUGUGACCCUGACAUUUAAUAACUACGACUUUGGUCUUAAGCAAUUUUCUUCCUCUGUGGAUUGAUAUUUGGAUAUCAAUGUGGAUAAUAAUUUCUCACCAAGGUAACUGUUGUGAGGUAAAAAUGAGUUAACAUAAGUAAAACCUAGCACAUGCAAACCAUCCGAAAUGGUUAAUACUUACUAUUAGUACUUGAAGAAAUAAAUGUUUUUGACAAUAAACUUCCUGUGCAGUUUUCCUCA